AUAUUGGCCAGAGACCGAUAGCGCACAAGUAGAGUGAUCGAAAGAUGAAAAGCACUUUGGAAAGAGAGUCAAACAGCACGUGAAAUUGUUGAAAGGGAAGCGCUUGCAGCCAGACUUGCUUGCAGUUGCUCAUCCGGGCUUUUGCCCGGUGCACUCUUCUGCAGGCAGGCCAGCAUCUGUUUGGGCGGUAAGAUAAAGGUCUCUGUCACGUACCUCUCUUCGGGGAGGCCUUAUAGGGGAGACGACAUAUUACCAGCCUGGACUGAGGUCCGCGCAUCUGCUAGGAUGCUGGCGUAAUGGCUGUAAGCGGCCCGUCUUGAAACACGGACC
rnacentral:rRNA from 1 species